CCCUGAGCCACAAGCACCAGAGGCUGCUCUGCAAGGGGAAGGAGAACAAGCAGAACCAGUUUGUGCUCAGCAGGAGGUCCAGGAGGAAAAGAGGACCCACGUCAGGAGCGUGCCUCAAAGUCUGUGAGAGUGAGAUGGAGACUACAUCUACCCUCCUCUACGUUCCUGCAGUGUGUCAUCUGAGGCUACAACUUGAGCUGUUUCUCCAUCUUCAGGUAUCUCAUGGGAUCAAAUCCCCAAGGAGCUCCUUCUCAGGAUCUUCCUCUACCUCCCUCUGAAGGAUCUCCUCCGGAUGUCCAGAGUCUGCAAGCGCUGGCCUCGCUUAGUGGCCGGGCUCUGGGCCCCCCUUCGACCCUGGGCCCGGGACAACUGACCCGGUUGACCCCCCUAUCAGCGGGCUUUCAUCUCAGCCAUAUUAAAACACAACACUGGGGAAAACUGCUCUGAUGAGGCUCCUGAUGUGACUCUAAUCUGACGUCGUUAUAAAUGCAUA